UCUGUGCAAUCCCCAGCUUUUUGUUGGUUUGGUCUCCGCAUCUUCUUUCCGCGCAUACACAGCAAACCAGUUUAAGAAUUAUAAAUCCCUGGAGGCCCACAUCCAAUUCACGAACGGCUGGGUGCAAGAUUUGUCCAUCUUUAUGCCUCCACGCUGCGACAACUGUACGUUGUCGUUAAGACAAAGGUACUGCACUCACAACGACUGAAUGAAGCUGCCCUGUGACCUCGUUGUGUGGACACAGAGAGACCUUCUGUCAUACGCAUCUUCCCUGAUGUGGAUUUCUGGGAACCACGUUUAAAGCAAGCACAAGACUUCUUU